GAGAGAGAGAGAGAGAGACGCAGAGGCUGGGGGCUAGUGGACACUUCGAGCUGUAGAAUCCAUGCUAAAAGCUGCUUGACCUGCUUUGUCUGGGUGAAAAGAAAUGGGACACAAUCAACCCGUGCGUUGCCGAUGCUGAAGUGGAAAGCACGUUCCUUCUAGUGAUGAGGCAAACCACUCCUGGCUGAAGCCAAGGCUACACAGUCCAUCUGAAAUCCCACCUGCAGUUCUGCAACUGCUUGUAAAUAAUGAUUUUGCAAGUCUUCCUCAGAAGAAUUAGAUCACAGCCAGUCCCACCUUAACUACAUAUUUGCUAGCUGAAUAAACAGGAUGAAAUUGGACCAAGAGUUGUGUCUGCUGGCAGAAUCAAGGACUUUCAGUGCUGAACAACUGGUUCCAAGCGUGCAGGGUAUUCGAGAAGCCUUUUACAUCCCAGGUUAUGCUCCCUGCUAAAAUUACCUCCCAACAAGCACAUUUUUGGUGCUUUCCUCACCAUU